AACACUUCGCUCUAAUGCAAAAUUAAUUAUUACUUACAAACUUCAUAUGGUAACCCACAUACUUUGCGACAGCAACCAUGCACAAGAGCUAGUUAAACACAGAACUCUUCACAUCAAGCACAGACUGCAAACUAGUCUAAGGCACUCACCCGCAACACCAAUGAACUAUAUUGUUACAUGUUAGGAAACUAGGCCACAGGUAAAGUAAAACGGAGUGACUAAAAGUGGUGCCAGCAGCCGCGGUUAAACCACAACUCAAAAUUAAUUUACUCAAAGCCAGAGUAAUUUAUUAGCUUAGACUAUAACCUUGCAGGUAAAGGUGAAAUUUAAACCUUAAUAACCAUACCCAAACCAGUCAUGAUAAACCAAUACUCUAACAAACCACACUACAAAACACGGAUUAGAUACCCGUCUAUUGCGUGGCCCAACACAUCAAACUCUAAAAACGAAAGUUCCAAACUUAAAGAGCGUGGCGGUAUUCUACACCUUAUUAGGGGAUCCUGUGGCUUAAUUCGAUAACCCACGAACACCAAAGCUUUGUUAGUUCUCAGUUUAUGUAUGGCCGUUUUAAGUCUGCAUACUAAUAAUAAAAAAGGAGACAUUAAAGAAACCAAAACUCUUAAUAACACAGGUAACAUAUAGCCAACACAAAGCAGCUCAUGGGAUACAAAUGAACACAAAUCACCAGAAAAAGAUUGCAAACUCUUCACUAAAGAAGGACUUAAAAGUAAGGCCAUAACAUUACUUUAGCCUGAACCAGAACUAGAAUGCGCACAAAUCGCCCGUCACUCCCGGUAAUUAAAUCGGGAUAAGUCGUAACACAGUAGGGGUAACGGAAGUUGCCCCUAUACAA
rnacentral:rRNA from 1 species